AUACGUAGGGUGCGAGCGUUGUCCGGAAUUACUGGGCGUAAAAAGCUCGUAGGUGGUUUGUCGCGUCGCCUGUGAAAUUCCGGGGCUUAACUCCGGGCGUGCAGGCGAUACGGGCAUAACUUGAGUACUGUAGGGGAGACUGGAAUUCCUGGUGUAGCGGUGAAAUGCGCAGAUAUCAGGAGGAACACCGGUGGCGAAGGCGGGUCUCUGGGCAGUAACUGACGCUGAGGAGCGAAAGCAUGGGUAGCGAACAGGAUUAGAUACCCUGGUAGUCCAUGCCGUAAACGGUGGGCGCUAGGUGUAGGGGUCUUCCACGACUUCUGUGCCGUAGCUAACGCAUUAAGCGCCCCGCCUGGGGAGUACGGCCGCAAGGCUAAAACUCAAAGGAAUUGACGGGG
rnacentral:rRNA from 1 species